CAGCGUAGCAGGCUUGCAGGUGACAGUGCACAGCUGUGUUUUCCGGCCCCGUCUGGGGUCAUCCAACAAAUGAGGAAAGCUUGCCAGACCUGAAUCUAAAAGCGCUAAACGCUGGUGUCGACUCUGCCCAGAGGACAGCGGAGCCCCUGCAGCCAUCUGCUCGGCCAUCAGAGCCUUCCUGCUGGAGGCGUUGCUAUUUCAUAGUAGUCGUUAGGGGAAAGAAACGAUCUUAAGCAACACGUUCUCUUCUAUUUUACACACCAGAAUACUUUAUGCGUCCAGUUCCCUCCCAGGACAGAGAACCUGGAGCAGAAUGACAUGCGUGAGGACCUGGGGGCACACACACCUAGGGCACAUCAAGAAACACCCCCUACCACGGGGUGGCCCCAGGACCUCAACAGCCAAGUGCCAGGAAGGAGAGAGCCAGUGGCCCAGCCCUGGAUGUCAGCAGCCCCACCAUUCUGGAAUCCCACAAAAUCCAGUAAAUAAGAAAACUCACACAACACAGGCAUGCACAGGCUUUUUAAAGGAUUGUCUAGAUUUGGCACUUGGUGAAAAAUACUGUCCCCAGCCUGACUGGGGUAACGGGUGGAGAAGACAGGUAAUGAUGGUGUGUUGGCAGAGAUGAGCUGUCCAUGAAGGAUUGGCACUAAGGCCAUAGGACUGAGGACCAAGGCUCAGUGGCAGUCUCUGCCUUGCCACUGUGAGUGCUGAGGCCCACCAAGUCACAGGUGAUGAGUGCCAAGGCCAACCAAGUCACUGCCACUGUGGGGAGCCUUGGGAUGGGUUCCCUGUCUCCUAAAAGUCUAGAGACCAGGUUCAGUUCUGUUCUGCCAUGAACUGC
rnacentral:lncRNA from 1 species